rnacentral:rRNA from 1 species
UACGUAGGGUGCGAGCGUUGUCCGGAAUUAUUGGGCGUAAAGAGCUCGUAGGCGGUUUGUCACGUCUGCUGUGGAAAUCCCGGGGCUCAACCCCGGGCUUGCGGUCGAUACGGGCAGGCUGGAGUUCGGUAGGGGAGACUGGAAUUCCUGGUGUAGCGGUGAAAUGCGCAGAUAUCAGGAGGAACACCGGUGGCGAAGGCGGGUCUCUGGGCCGAUACUGACGCUGAGGAGCGAAAGCGUGGGGAGCGAACAGG